UACAGAGGGUGCGAGCGUUGUCCGGAAUCACUGGGCGUAAAGGGCGCGUAGGCGGCGGGAGAAGUCUGUGGUGAAAGCUCGUGGCUCAACUACGAGUCGGCCAUGGAUACUCUUUCGCUCGAGCACUGUAGAGGCAGAUGGAAUUCCGGGUGUAGCGGUGGAAUGCGUAGAGAUCCGGAAGAACACCGGUGGCGAAGGCGGUCUGCUGGGCAGUAGCUGACGCUGAGGCGCGACAGCGUGGGGAGCAAACAGG
rnacentral:rRNA from 1 species